rnacentral:rRNA from 1 species
UACGUAGGUGGCAAGCGUUGUCCGGAAUUACUGGGCGUAAAGAGCGCGCAGGCGGCUGGUCAAGUCCGAUGUGAAAGCUUCCGGCUUAACUGGGAAAUUGCAUCGGAAACUGAUCGGCUUGAAGGUGGGAGAGGGUAGUGGAAUUCCCGGUGUAGUGGUGAAAUGCGUAGAUAUCGGGAGGAACACCAGUGGCGAAGGCGACUACCUGGCCCACGCUUGACGCUGAGGCGCGAAAGCUAGGGGAGCGAACGGG